rnacentral:sRNA from 13 species
AAAAUCACCAUUUUUAAGGGAGUUAGCGCUUUUCGAGUUCGAGGCAAUAGGGUACGAGACAGCAGAGAAAGAGACAGUCGUUAUCUCUGCCGUCUCUCACUCUCUCACCUUCAACUUUAAAGGCGCAUAACUCCCUUCAAAAUGAAGAUUUU